GAUGAACGCUGGCGGCGUGCCUAAUACAUGCAAGUAGAACGCUGAAGCUUGGUGCUUGCACCGAGCGGAUGAGUUGCGCACGGGUGAGUAACGCGUAGGUAACCUGCCUGGUAGCGGGGGAUAACUAUUGGAAACGAUAGCUAAUACCGCAUAACAGUAGAUAUUGCAUGAUAUCUGCUUGAAAGGUGCAAAUGCAUCACUACCAGAUGGACCUGCGUUGUAUUAGCUAGUUGGUGAGGUAACGGCUCACCAAGGCGACGAUACAGAGCCGACCUGAGAGGGCGGUCGGCCGCACUGGGACUGUGACACGGCCCAGACGCCCACGGGAGGCAGCAGUAGGGAAUCUUCGGCAAGGGGGGGAACCCUGACCGAGCAACGCCGCGUGCGGGAAGAAGGGUGUCGGAUCGUAAAGCUCGGUUGUAAGAGAAGAACGAGUGUGAGAGUGGAAAGUUCACACUGUGACGGUAACGUACCAGAAAGGGACGGCUAACUACGUG
rnacentral:rRNA from 1 species